rnacentral:tRNA from 1 species
GCUCAGGCGGUAGAGCAUGUGAUUCUUAAUCUCAAGGUGGUGGGAUCAAACCCCAC